AUGGAUUUUAACCUGCUGCUGAAGGCGGCCAACCUGUGUCUGCACCACACCUCUGGUCUUGGAAAAGAGGUGAUCAGUCCCAGGGGCUAUUCCUGUGAGAUGUUAAUUUUGGAUUCAGCAUUCCACGCUGGAUGCUGGAACAGCUGGCCAGUGUGGAAUUCUAGCAUGGAGAUGUCAAGCAAUUUGGGACUGCAUGGCAGAGGAAGAAUGUUCCUCUCUGUAAGCGAGAUCUUGACAAUUAGCUUGUUGAAAGGAACUCCUUUCAAAGCUCUAGGAACUAGAAGAUACCGUUCCGGGGUCGGCAACCUUUCAGAAGUGGAGUGCCGGAUCUUCAUUUAUCCACUCUAAUUCGAGGUUUUGCGUGCCAGUAAUACAGUUUAACGUUUUUAGAAGGUCUCUUUAUACAAACCUAUAAUAUAGAAGUAAACUAUUGUUGUAUGUAAAGUAAAUAAGGGUUUUAAAAUGUUUAAGAAGCUUCAUUUAAAAUUAAAUUAAAAUGCAGAGCCCCCCGGACUGGUGCCCAGGACCCGGGCAGUGUGAGUGCCGCUGAAAAUCAGCUGGUGUGCUGCCUUCGGCAUGCAUGCCAUUGGUUGCCUACCCCUGGAUUAGACCAUUGUUCACUCUAUUCCUGUGGCCAAUACCCAGUCCAGGGGGGGGAUACUCGGAGCUCAGUUUGUAGGCUGGUGAGGGCAUAAUGAUAGGUUUGGGGGACUCAAAGCCCUUGAACAUCUGGUCACCCAAAUAAGGGUUUGGCAGGGAGUUGAACAGUGUGUGGCCUUGUCUACACUAGCCUUCUUUGCGAAUUUUACGUGGGGGCAGGGCCAGAUUAACCUUUUGUGGGGCCCCCUCAUGGAGGCAAUUGAGCAUGGCAUGGACCAGGGAGGUCAGUCCCCAGAGCGAGGGGCCAGCCAGGGGCAAUGGGGCGUGCCAUGGCGGGGGCAGCCCCGCUCCACCCACCCCAAUGUGAGGGCAGUAUUUACAAACCAGCAGUUGCCAGACGCACUGUGGUCUGCUGGCCCUGUGAUGCCAGCAUGCCCCUUC
rnacentral:lncRNA from 1 species